AGCUGCUCCGCACAGCCCCGCCUGGCACGCAGCUCCAGCGGCUGGUCGGGUAGUAGUCGGUCCCGCCCACCCGGUGCGGUGGCCCCUGGGGUUUCAGUCCAAGGGGAGGGACCAGCGCUCCAAGAAGGUGAGGCUGCUGGGAUGGGUGACUCCGCCGUCACUGCAAACACGGGACGUCCCGUCUACUCCCUUACGCCUGCUUGGUCUGAGCCCGAGUCUACCUCUUCUCUAAGUCGCCAGCUCGGCACUUGUACCCGGGACCUGUGCUCCUCCCACAAAUUAAAUCAUUUUUGGGAAGCCCUCAAGGUACCAUAAGCUCUGGGCAGUGUGCCUAAGACUUCUAAUGGAGAAUUUAGCCCUGUGCAGAUGAUAUUGCAGAGGAGGAAUGCUUAGUUAAUUUAGUUCCAGGAUACCUGUGCAGGACAUGACAUGCAGGUUUGUCAUGUAGGUAAACAUGUGCCAUGGUGGUUUGCUGCACCUGUCGACCCAUCACCUAGGUAUUAAGCCCCACAUGCAUUAGCUAUUUUUCCUGAUGUUCUCCCUCCCUCCACCCCCUUGACAGGCCACAGUGUGUGUUGUUCCCCUCCCUGUGUCCAUGAGUUCUCAUUGUUCAGCUCCCACUUAUAAGUGAGAACAUGUGACGUUUGGCUUUCUGUUCCUGUGUUAGUCUGUGGAGGAUAUUGGCUUCCAGCUCCAACCAUGUCUCUGCAAAGGACAUGAUCUCAUUCCUUUUUAUGGCUGCAUAGUAUUCCAUGGUGUAUAUGUACCAGCAGUUAGUUCUUAAAUUAAAAAAAAAAGCUUUCAUAUUUAAUCAAGUUAGGUUAUUUCAAUAUAUGCACCAUAAUGAUUAUUGUAAAGUAAGUUCUGUAAACUAAGGAAAAAUAACUAUUUUGUGCAAUCUCAGAAAAAUCUACUAGAUGGUAUGGGAAACAAGAAAGAGAAAUGAAGAGGCAAAUAAAAACAUGGCAUUUAUUGAGUAGCUGUAUGCUGGGAGAUUUGAACAUUCUCCUUUCCUUUCCCCUAAUUUUACGUACAGAGAAGUAACUUCUUGAAGGUUGUAUGUUCCAGCUUGCAACUAGCCAUGUUGGAUUUAGAAACAGGUCAAAGUCAAGUUCCAUGCUUUCUUCCUGUCUCAUGAUAGCAUUCUCUCCCAUUCUCUACCUGCACAUAUAUAUUUCAUAAAACUAGAAAGAGGACUCCACUAUAUUUUACAUCAUUUCUUCAAAUGAAGAAGAGAUCUGAGUUCUUCAUACCUUCAACAUGUACUUACAUUCCAGGAAUUUAACUAUCCGUAAGGUAUUUAAAUCCUACAUUCAUGAUAUUGUUUUAAUUGCCCUGAGUCAACUAAUUGACAAAGGAAAAUGCUAUGCUUAAAAGCUCAGUUCUCAGUGUAAUUAUUUUUCUCUCCCCACAUAUAAUCAUCCUUUAAAUAUAAAAGCUAUUAUAGAGAUGCAGUUUCCAGCAAACUUUAUCUCACAUUGAGGCCCUUGACUUUAUGUGGUGUUUCAGAUCAGCUUUUUUGUCAAGGGUCACACAUUCAUUCCAGCAUCACUUAAUUCUUUAGCUGUUAGUCUCCAUCCAGCACUAGGGUAGACCCUGGAGAUGCAAAAGCAAGCUAGAGACAGUACCCUUAUUCUCAUGGAGCUAAACAUUAGAGAGGUAUUGGUGUAUUCUUCGGAGUAUAUAAUGCCCUUUCCAGCUAUGGACUCUGCCUUUCUUUAUGUAUUCACCUCUUCCUGGAAGCCACUUUGAGUUGGCAGAAACACUCUGCCUGCCUCAGGAGACAGAGGGAAUUAUUUGUUGAUAAAUUGGGGAAGAAUGGCUCUAAAUGCUUACAUCAGCUCUGUCCUUCCUCUUGGGAAUGAGAUGCAUGCAGGGAGCAUUUAGCCUGCAAGGCUUCUCUGCUGCUCUUCAGGGAUGCUUCCCUGUAGGAGAGAGAUCUACCUGGGUCUGGGGUGGCCUCUUCCUCCCUGGGUGAGUGUGCCUAGUUCUGGGGUUCAGCUAGUGGGUAUCUUGGCUCUGUCACAGUUAUACCCUCCAUCAUGGCCUCUAUUGGUAAUAAAGGAGAUACUUAGCUCUCAUCUGUCUUAGUCUUCGUUCCAUUAGCAGGGAAGAGGGGUGUCAUUCAUCGUGGCUGAUUUAAAGCUACAAAACUGAUGAGCUUUCUGUAUCCCUUUCUUUCUGGCUCCUAAUUCACUUAUCCUUUGCCCAUAAUUAGCACUCAUUAUGCACUGUCCUGUUCGUUAAUUGUUACCAUGGCUAUGGCUUUUUCUUGAUGUUUUUGUGAGUCUAUCGUGUUUAUAGCUUAUGUCUUUUAGGCCCUACUUAUAAGUAGAAAGAGAACAGGAAGUGAGCUCCCCCAAAAUAGACAUGCAGUCAAUAUCACAAACCCCAAGAGGGCAAGUUCUGGAACCAGCAGAUUCCAGCUCUGCAAUAUUAGCUCUAUAACUUCACCCACAUUACUUAACCUCAGUUUCUUCCUCUGGAAAAUGGGGAAAAUAAUGACACCCUUCUCAUAUUAUCACACAUGAAGUUCCUGACACAGAGUACACACUGAAUGCAUGUGUGCUGUUAUUACAAAAAGGAAUUAAAUCAGAUGGUUUUACCUUCCUUAGAAAGAAUUAAUACAGAAAAAAAAAAAGCUCCUCAACUCUCUUAAGUACUCUGAAUGAAUGACCUCUGUAUUGCAGACUCUUUAAAGCAGCAGUCUCCAAACUUUUUAGCACCAGAGACUGGUUUCGAGGAAGACAAUUUUUCCACAGACCCGGGUGGGGUGAAGGAUGGUUUUGGGAUGAUUCAAGCCCAUUACACUUACCAUUCUAUUCUCAUAAAAGAGCGCACAACCUUGCAUGCACGGUUCACAGUUGGGUUCUGGCUCCUGUGGGAAUCUAAUGCCGCCGCUGAUCUGACAGGAAGCUGAGCUCAGGCAGCCAGUGCUGGCUUGCCUUACCUCCUGCUGUUCUGCCCAGGUCCUGACAGGCCACAGAGCAGUACUGGUCCACAACCUGGGGGCUGGGGACACCUGCUUUAAGGGAACAGUUCUUGAGAACAAACAACAUCUGCUCCAGAGGUCAUUGAUGCUUGAAGAUCAUAGUGAAAGAAGAAUGUUCUCAAAGAACAAGAUUUUUGGGUCAGAUAUUGCUAUGUUUGAAUCUCUUUCCUUCAAAUCCACUUACACAUCCUCCCUGAACCUCAUUUUUUAAAUAAAAUAAUACAAUGAUAUUUACAUAUAAUAUAAUAUUUUGAGAUUUAGGUUAAAUGGUGCAGUUGAAAGUCACUAAUAGUAUAAGGCAUAUGGCAUAUUGUACAUCAAUCUAUUGUAUUUUAUAUCAAUAUAUGUUGUAUUCAAUAUUGUUCAUUAUUCAUUGUUCAUUAUUCAAUAUGUAUUCAUAUUGUACAUCAAUAUAUGUUGAAUAACUGAAUCCAGGGAAUAUUCCUUCUGCAACUGAUUUCAAAUAGUGCCAUUACCCAGAGCUGUGGAUGUUGCCUGAGUUGACUUGUACUUACCUGCAAAGCAAGUGACCUUGAACGGGCAGAGUAAGAGGAAGAGGCCCUCCAUGGAAAACUAAACAACUGGUCCAUUUUUGUUUGAAUAAUCAAGUCUGGGAGGUGUUCCUUGUGCAGAGCACAUUAUUUUCUUUCUAUAUUGGAUAGCUGUACCCCAUUCACAGGGGUGACAUGCCAUUCAUACUGCAGCAGUAGGAAAGUCCCCAUGGUUUCUCUUUCCUCAUUCACUUUUAUAUGUAUAUAUAUUUUUUAUUAUACUUUAAGUUCUAGGGUACAUGUGCACAAUGUUCAGGUUUGUUACAUAUGUAUACACGUGCCAUGUUGGUGUGCUGCACCCAUUAACUUGUCAUUUACCUUAGGUAUAUCUCCUAAUGCUAUCCCUCCCCACUCCCCCUACUCCACAACAGGCCCCAGUGUGUGAUGUUCCCCUUCCUGUGUCUAAGUGUUCUUAUUGUUCAAUUCCCAUCUGUGAGUGAGAACACAUCAUUCACUUUUGAUGUCGGUGGAAUAGUGGCCCCCACAAAGACGUACACAUCCGGAUCCCCAGAACCUAUGAAUAUGUUCCUUUACAUGGUUUUAUGGAUUGAUCUGUAUGCUGCUAAAAUUAAUAUGUUGAAGUUGUGGCCCACAAUACCACAAAAUGUGACUAAAUUUGGAGAUAGGUCUUUUCAGAGGUAAUCAAUUUAAGAUGAGUUUAUUAGGGUAGAUGCUAAUUUAAUGUAACUUUGUUCCCAUAAGAAGGAAAAAAUUGGACACGGAGAUAAGGACAGAGGAAAGAUGAUGUGAAGACAGGGGCAGAAGUCAGCCAUCUACAAGUCAAAGGGAGACAUGUGGAACAGAUUCACCCUCACAGCCCUCAGAUGGAAGCAACACCACUAACACUUUGCUCUUGGACUUCUAGCUUCCAGAACUGAGAGACAAUAUCUUUCUGUUGCUUAAGUCAUUCUGUCUGUGAUACUGUGUUUAUGGCAGCCCUGGCAAACUAAUACAGUCCCACAAAGAUUUGGUUGUUGCUUUGCAAGAGAAUGUAUAAUUCCUGGUUAUUUCUACAAAUAAGGGCAUUGACUUUAUAAAGCUACAAGUAUACCCCAGUAUUCUGUUUCUGGUUUUUGUUUACUUUCAUAUAUGCUAUCUUUUCAUUCCCAGGUGAAAUCAUAGUGCAUUUUAAAUGAUAUUUUAAAGAGCAAUUAUACUCGUCAUAUGUACUUCAAAUAAUACUGAUUCCUCAAUUGAAGUAAUGGUAACAUGAGUGUAUUAGUUAAUUUUUUCUGAAUAACUAGUUACCUCCAAAGUUCAUGCCUUCAAGCAACACAUAUUCAUUAUUUCACAGCUUCUUUGGGUCAGGAGUCUUGGCAUAGCUUAGCUGAGUCCUCUGGCUCCUGGCGUCCCAGGCUGUAAUCAAGGUGGUGGCCAGGACUGUAGUCAUGUCAGGGCUCGCCAGGGAAGGAUCUGCCUCCAAGCUAACCAGUGUGGCUUUUGGCAGAAUAUAUUUCUAUGCAGGUUGUUGGACUGAGUUUCUUGCUGGCUGUUCCAGAGGUUCCCUUAGCAUCUUGUCGUGUGGCCUCUUCAUAGGUCAAUUCAUAUUGGCUUCAUCAAAGUGAGCAGGUAAGAUAGCAAAAGAGAAUGCCCAAGAUAGAAGCCAUAGUCUUUUUGUAAUCUAAUCUUAGAAGUGACAGCCUGUUAUAUUUGCUAUAUUCUCUUUGUUAGAAACAAGUUUCUAGGGCUGGGCAUGGUGGCUCACAUCUGUAAUCCCAGCAUUUUGGGAGGCCGAGACAGGCAGAUCACCUGAGGUCAGGAGUUCGAGACCAGCCUGGCCAACAUGGCGAAAUCCUGUCUCUACUAAAAAUACAAAGCCGAGUGUGGUGGCGCAGGCCUGUAAUCCCAGCUACUUGGGAGGCUAAGGCAGGAGAAGCACUUGAACCUGGGUGGUGGAGGUUGCAGUGAGCCAAGAUUGUGCCACUGCACUCCAGCCUGGGUGACAGAGUGAGACUCCAUCUCAAAAAACAAACAAACAAAAAACCAAAUUACUAGGUUUGUCUCAUUCUCAAGGGAAGAGUUUACUCAAGAGAAUAAAUACCAGGAGGUUGGGAUCACUGGAGGCCAGUUUAGAGUCUGCCUACCAAUAGGAGCAAGGCCAUCAAUGUCAGUCAGUGACAUCAACAUCAUGUAGACUGCUUGGCCAACAGUAAUGCUAAAAUGCCAUCAAUCUUGAGAUCAUCUUCAUCUCAUAAAUAUUAACAUGUAAAAAAAGUCAUUUUAAAGUAAAG
rnacentral:lncRNA from 1 species